rnacentral:rRNA from 1 species
UACAGAGGUCCCAAGCGUUGUUCGGAUUCAUUGGGCGUAAAGGGUGCGUAGGCGGCCAUGUAAGUGAGGUGUGAAAUCCCUCGGCUCAACCGAGGAACUGCGCUUCAUACUGCAUGGCUUGAGGGAGACAGGGGUAAGCGGAACUGAUGGUGGAGCGGUGAAAUGCGUAGAGAUCCGGAAGAACACCGGUGGCGAAGGCGGUGAGCUGGGCAGAGCUGGACACUGAGGCGCGACAGCGUGGGGGAGCAACAGG